GACGAACGCUGGCGGCGUGCUUAACACAUGCAAGUCGAACGGAAAGGCCCUGCUUUUGUGGGGUGCUCGAGUGUCGAACGGGUGAGUAACACGUGAGUAACCUGCCCUUGACUUUGGGAUAACUUCAGGAAACUGUGGCUAAUACCGGAUAGGAGCUCCUGCUGCAUGGUGGGGGUUGGAAAGUUUGGGCGGUUUAGGAUGGACUCGCGGCUUAUCAGCUUGUUGGUGGGGUAGUGUCUUACCAAGGCUUUGACGGGUAGCCGGCCUGAGAGGGUGACCGGCCACAUUGGGACUGAGAAACGGCCGAGACUCCUACGGGAGGAAGCAGUAGGGAAUAUUGCACAAUGGGCGGAAGCCUGAUGCAGCAACGCCGCGUGCGGGAUGACGGCCGUCGGGUUGUAAACCGCUUUCGCCUGUGACGAAGCGUGAGUGACGGUAAUGGGUAAAGAAGCACCGGCUAACUACGUG
rnacentral:rRNA from 1 species